rnacentral:misc_RNA from 1 species
GACCAAAUCACGCCUGGCGUGGUCUUGGGGUCUGCCAUCUGGCAACCCUUAAACGCAGUGGCGGCGCCGCAGGGCUCUCAGCGUAGUAAACUCUCUCGCUGUGGGGUCCCCGCGGACGCUUGCCAGCAACCCUCAAUACUCUA